rnacentral:rRNA from 1 species
AUUGAACGCUGGCGGCAUGCCUAACACAUGCAAGUCGAGCGGAUGAAGGGAGCUUGCUCCUCGCUUCAGCUGCCGACGGGUGAGUAAUGCCCAGGAAUCUGCCCUGCCGUUGAGGAUAACGUCCGGAAACGGGCGCGAAUAUCGCAUACGUUCUGAUGGUGAACGUGGUGGAUCUUCGGACCUCACGCUUUCAGAUGAGCCUAGGUCGGAUUAGCUAGUUGGUUGGGUAAAGGCCUACCAAGGCGACGAUCCGUAACUGGUCUGAGAGGAUGAUCAGUCACACUGGAACUGAGACACGGUCCAGACUCCUACGGGAGGCAGCAGUGGGGAAUAUUGGACAAUGGGCGAAAGCCUGAUCCAGCCAUGCCGCGUGUGUGAAGAAGGUCUUCGGAUUGUAAAACACUUUUAGUUGGGAGGAAGGGAAGUAAGUUAAUACCUUGAUGUUUUGACGUUACCAACAGAAUAAGCACCGGCUAACUUCGUG